GUCGAGGGGUAUGCUUCUUCGGAAGCAGAGACCGGCGCACGGGUGCGUAACGCGUAUGCAAUCUACCUUUUACAGAGGGAUAGCCCAGAGAAAUUUGGAUUAAUACCUCAUAGCAUAGCAACUUCGCAUGAAGUCACUAUUAAAGUCACAACGGUAAAAGAUGAGCAUGCGUCCCAUUAGCUAGUUGGUAAGGUAACGGCUUACCAAGGCUACGAUGGGUAGGGGUCCUGAGAGGGAGAUCCCCCACACUGGUACUGAGACACGGACCAGACUCCUACGGGAGGCAGCAGUGAGGAAUAUUGGACAAUGGGCGCAAGCCUGAUCCAGCCAUGCCGCGUGCAGGAUGACGGUCCUAUGGAUUGUAAACUGCUUUUAUACAGGAAGAAACCCUGGUUCGUGAACCAGCUUGACGGUACUGUAAGAAUAAGGAUCGGCUAACUCCGUGCCAGCAGCCGCGGUAAUACGGAGGAUCCAAGCGUUAUCCGGAAUCAUUGGGUUUAAAGGGUCCGUAGGCGGUUUAGUAAGUCAGUGGUGAAAGCCCAUCGCUCAACGGUGGAACGGCCAUUGAUACUGCUAAACUUGAAUUAUUAGGAAGUAACUAGAAUAUGUAGUGUAGCGGUGAAAUGCUUAGAGAUUACAUGGAAUACCAAUUGCGAAGGCAGGUUACUACUAAUUGAUUGACGCUGAUGG
rnacentral:rRNA from 1 species